CAAAAGCUGUGAGUCUUAAAUGAACAAAGACAGAAUUUCAGAUAGGCGUUUUGAUAGCAUUGUGGCUCUCUGUGGCAAAGGCCAGUAGGAGCUGUUGGAUCAAGGAACUCCAGUUCUACGCUCUACAAAGGUGUGAAAGUGGAAACUGGCCACCUUUGGAGUUGAAAGAAACUUAGGGAGAGAGAGGGGAAAAUAUGCUGGCAUGCUAAUCGCGUGAGACAACUUGGCCCACGG
rnacentral:lncRNA from 1 species